ACGUGCAUGCGAAGUAGAGGGUCUGCAUAUUCAGGCCUCUGUGAAGGUAUAUAUCAAAAAAUUUGAGAUUUGAUCUCUGGUUCUGUUGCGAUUCAAGUAAGAAUUUGAUCAUUAAAUAAGUAGAAUAUUAAAAAAAAAUUUAGAUGCAACCUGGGCAUUCUAGAGGAAAACUAUUCUCUUUUUUUCAACUGAUGUUCCUCCACCACCUCGUAGAUUUGCAAGAUCUCUCAACCUUCUGAAAGGUACAUGGGUAUGCUUAUCGAGAAAGUAAAGAAAAUAUUCCUUAUGAGAGAUAAGGGUCAUGGUGAUGAUCCUAAUAUAUUU
rnacentral:lncRNA from 1 species